rnacentral:sRNA from 1 species
AAUUGGCAGAAAUUUAUUCCCUUGAAUUUAUUAGCGCAGGCUCAACCUAUUGAGCCAUUCCCCUGAGCCUGAAGCGAUUGCUUCAGGCCUUUUUUU